GAAAAAAAUUGUUUGUCGAAUAUCAUCAUAUGACACAUGUUUUCAAAGUAUUUUUUGAUGCUGAUUCUAAUGACAUAAAAAUAAAGUCAAUACGAUUGCUCUAAAAAAAGUUAUAGCCGAUUGAAAACAAGGGUGCUUGUUUUUUUACUUCAACAGGUAAAAUAUAACCGAAACCCAUGGGAAAAACAUGCUACACUGACGAAAUUCGGGAUGAAGGUUUUAGAUAAAGCAGGGGCAAAGGAUUCAUAAAGUUCUUAAAAUUAUUUUUGGUGAAAGGGUGUUUUUUUGAUGGGUUAAGUUGUGUGUGAGGAAGGUAUCAUAACAGCUGACUUAAAUUUUAUUAAUUUUUAAAACUUGGUGUAAAUGUUUUGGUUGGUAUAAGAAUUAAGAAUCUAAAAAGUGUACAAAAUUAUCUUGAGUGAAAGGGUGUUUUUUUUUAAAGAAAUGAUGAAAUUCGGAAUUAGUACCACAAAAACUAGGAACAAAUUGUUACACCAAUGAAAUUUGGUAAAAAUGUUUCAUUUAUAACAGAAACCAAGAACCCAAAAAGUUUAUACAAAUAUUUUAGGUUAAAGGGUGUUUUUUUGGGAAAUAGGGAAAAAUCCGCGAUAAGUCCGAUAAUAUCAAUGGUAUAAAUGGUACCCUUACGAAAUUCAUUAAAUAUAUUCUCUUUCCAAUGGAAAUUACGAAUAAUGUAAGUCUAUAAAUUUUUUUUAUGUCAAAGGGUGUUUUUUUUAGAAGUAAAGAAAAUAUGGGUAUAUUUGAAAAAGUGUGUAAUACUAGAUUAAUAUUGGGGGUACCCUAUUGAAAUUUAGCAAUUAUGUUACUUUUAAGAUAUGAAACAAGAAUCUAAAGUGCCUAUAAAAAUAUCAUGGUUGCCAGGGUGUUUUUUUGAGUGAAAACAAAAAUGAUGGGUCACCCUAAUGAAAUUUGGUGAAAACAUUGAAUUUGGGAUAGAAAGCAAGAAUAAAGAGUUUUCAUAAAAAAAAUUUUGGUGAAAGGGUGUUUUUUCAAAGAAACAGUAAAAUCUGCAAUUUGUCCCAAAAAGCCAAUGAUUUAUUUUAUUUAUUGUUUUGAUGACAAAUUAAACGUUUAUACUUCAGUUCUUAGACGUUUUACACGAAUCAUUGGCUUUUUGGGACAAAUUGCAGAUUUUACUGUCUCUUUGAAAAAAACACCCUUUCACCAAAAUUUUUUUUAUGAAAACUCUUUAUUCUUGCUUUCUAUCCCAAAUUCAAUGUUUUCACCAAAUUUCAUUAGGGUUCAUUUUUGUUUUCACUCAAAAAAACACCCUGGCAACCAUGAUAUUUUUAUAGGCACUUAAGAUUCUUGUUUCAUAUCUUAAAAGUAACAUAAUUGCUAAAUUUCAAUAGGGUACCCCCAUUAUUAAUUUAGUAUUACACACUUUUUCAAAUAUACCCAUAUUUUCUUUACUUCUAAAAAAAACACCCUUUCACAUAAAAAAAAAUUAUAGACUUACAUUAUUCGUAAUUUCCAUUGGAAAGAGAAUAUAUUUAAUGAAUUUCGUAAGGGUACCAUUUAUACCAUUGAUAUUAUCGGACUUAUCGCGGAUUUUUCCCUAUUUCCCAAAAAAACACCCUUUAACCUAAAAUAUUUGUAUAAACUUUUUGGGUUCUUGGUUUCUGUUAUAAAUGAAACAUUUUUACCAAAUUUCAUUGGUGUAACAAUUUGUUCCUAGUUUUUGUGGUACUAAUUCCGAAUUUCAUCAUUUCUUAAAAAAAAACACCCUUUCACUCAAGAUAAUUUUGUACACUUUUUAGAUUCUUGAUUCUUAUACCAACCAAAACAUUUACACCAAGUUUUAAAAAUUAAUAAAAUUUAAGUCAGCUGUUAUGAUACCUUCCUCACACACAACUUAACCCAUCAAAAAAACACCUUUCACCAAAAAUAAUUUUAAGAACUUUAUGAAUCCUUUGCCCCUGCUUUAUCUAAAACCUUCAUCCCGAAUUUCAUCAGUGUAGCAUGUUUUAACCAUGGGUUUCGGUUAUAUUUUACCUGUUGAAGUAUAAAAACAAGCACCCUUGUUUUCAAUCGGCUAUAACUUUUUUUAGAGCAAUCGUAUUGACUUUAUUUUUAUGUCAUUAGAAUCAGCAUCAAAAAAUACUUUGAAAACAUGUGUCAUAUGAUGAUAUUCGACAAACAAUUUUUUUCUGUAUAUUUUUGACCUUCACCCCCUCCCUCUUGUCCGCGGAAAAACACCCUUCCACCCAACUUUUUUUUAUAGACUUUUUUUGUACUUGGUUCUUAUCCCAAAAGCAAACUUUUUGCCAAGUUUCAUGAGUGUAACAAUUUUUUUUCUUUUAAAUGCCUAUUUUACCUGUACUAUAAGAACUUAUUCUUAAAAUUUAAGAAUCUGUUCAUACUUUUUAUGUUCGAAAUUCAUAUUUUCCAAAAGUUAAGAAAUAAUUCAUUAAAUAUUAUGAAAGUAGGUAUACAUAUUAGACCGAGAGCCCACAGCAAAUUGUGGGAGUGGAGGUAUAACCAAAAUGUGAGUAUGCAGUUCUAUAGCCUUAUGCUCUCUAAUAACGAAUUCAAAAGUCUAGCAGAUUUAAAUCGCGGCAUUAUAUGGUUUUCGGAGGGUUAAACAACGCGACUUUUCAAAUUAAUGUGAGUAGGCUAAAAUAUCACAAAUUCACAUUUUGAAUAUAAAAACUGAUGCUCUGUCAUUUCCCCUAAGCCUGAAUACCUCAAUCUUGGCGAUGCGACAAAUAGAACUCAAGAUAUAAGCUUUUUAAACCAACCAUAUCUGCUCUUUUCUUGGAGAGAUUCGAAUACGAAAAAACAAACAAAGAAUUAAACUGAAAAGUCUCCAAAACAUAGCCGCUUUCACAGCUUAUAUCUUGGGGUCUAAUGAUUGCAUCGUAAAGAUUGAUGUCUUCAGGCUUAGGGGAAAUGACAGAGCAUCUGUUCCUGUAUAAAUAAUAUGAAAUAGUGCGAAUUUAGCCUACUUAUAUGAAUUGGAAAACCCACAUUUUUCAACCCCGUGAAAACUAUAUAAAGCCGCGAUUUAAAGCUGCCAGACUUUUGAAUUCGUUAUUAGAACGCAUAAGGCUAUAAAACUAUAUACUUACAUUUUGGUUAUACCUCCACUCCCAAAAUUUGCUGUGGGCUCUUAGACUAUAUAAUUUAUGAAAAAAUUCUUACGUUUUGAGUGUUUAAGUAUAUUUUCUUAAGGUCUAUGUAUUUUUUCAUCAAUCUAGAAAAUAAUAACUGUUGUUUUGAAUCUAUGCCUAAGAAGGUUUUCUCUGCAGAUUUAGUUUAAAAUCUGAUAUUCAAAGUUGACGGUCGUUGUCGAAAGAAGUUUGUGAAUAAAACACAAUAUUUAUUUCCCGUUGCCUCUUCCCCAUAUACUCAGAUAAGUAUAAAAACAUAAUUUGUUAAACAUUUCUUUCUUUUAUAUAUUAAAUAUAUUUAAAAUUUUUUUGUUAUAGGUACAUUAUUUAGAUACUUUUGUGAAACGAGUAGGCACGUGAGUAAUCUUCAAUUUAAGACCAUGAUAAUUUCGAAAAAAAGCGAAAUAUAAUAGAACCGGCAAAAGGGCACUAAAUACUGCACCGUAAAAACCAUCUUAAAGGCUAUUUGCAACAGAUCCAGUACACCCGAAGUUGUCAUUGUCAUUGUCAUCAAAAUAAAGCAAACACAUCAUGUUUGGAAAACAUAGAAUCUACUGCAGAACCUAAUGCUGCCGAUUACAAUAAGAUGAUACAUCAAUUAAAAAAGAAAAAUUAAAUUAAAAAAUAAAUGUAUAGUGAUAUUUAUAGUGAAAGUGAACAAUAAAACAUUUUUAUAACGUUUAAACUCAA